UUUUGAAGUGCAGGAAAAGACCAAAAAUAACGCAGAAAAUAUUUUCUGCAAAGAGAAAUAUAAGCAGCAAUCUGUGAUAUUUUACCUGGCUGUUUUACUAAAAGAAGAGAAAUCUGAAAAUUUGCAGGGCAUCUAUCCUUUAUUUAUCAUUUAUUAUACGUUAAUUAUCCAUACCGGACCGAUUCCAAGAUAACCAUGGAUAGGAGGGUGCGCGGGUGGCAACGUCACAUGCUGAUAUUGCAAAGUGAACAAUAAAUGUCCAGGUGGCCUCCCCCGUAAAAUUUCGAAAACUAGAAGCCCGGAAAUGCUAUUUCCAGUGAUCUGAGACAAGAAUCCAGUUCUAAAAUAAUGAAUUAUAAUGGGAUUUUUCAGUCAGAAAUCCAGAUCCACUAAAUCCACCCUUGGUAUCUAAGAUGAGCGAUACGAUUAUCCACUGUCAUCAAAAAAUGAUAUUUAGUUUGAAUCUAAUCACACUUGAUUGACAUGAUUAUCCACUUUAUAUUAAGCCUGAUUCCAGCCCGCAUCAAUCAAAUGAAAUUUGUUUUGAUUGAAUCUAAUCACAGUCUAAUCUAAGCUCAUUUCAAAAUCGGUUUGAAUUUAAUAGUAUCUCACUGGGUGAUAUCAUGUGACAAAAUUUAUAUAUAUUUAUUAUAUAAAAUAUAUUUUGUUUAUUGUCAUCAAUCAAAUAAAAUUCACUUUGAAUCUAAUAGCAUCUCACUCAAUCAGAGAGAGAGAUAGAAAUGGGUCAGUUCGGGACUAACAUAUGGUUCAAUUUUAUUUACAUAAUUCUCUUGCGUGUAGGGGUCUUUAGCAGUGGGAGGAAACUGGAGAUCCCGGAGAAAACCCACGAGGUUGGACAGGCGACCCUACUCCUUGCCACAUACAACCGGGGAUUCGAAACCACGCCAGUCGACUCAAUGACAGACUUUAUGAUACAGCGUGUGCACGCUAACCAUUCAGCCAUCCAACCCCCCUCUCACUCAAUCAACAUUUAUGUCAAAGUCUGUUGUUCUAUGUUGGUAUAUAUGUAAUUCUAUGUACUGAAAAGACAAUUGCCUUUUUGUAUGAUAAUACACAUUCAAAUGUUGUCAUAGAAUCUAACUGGAUUCACCACAAUCCAAUAUAUAAAUUUUUCUGAGUGAAUGAAUUAAAAGUAAUUAGUAAUCCUGUUUAUGAAUUUGUGGAACUUUUUAAAAAAAAAUUAAAUUUGAUUUCAAUGUUCAAAUGUAUAUCGUAUUUGUAUUUUAGUUUGUUUAUUUUAUUUAAUUUGUGUACCAUAUUUUGUAAAGAACAUGUCAGCACUUAGUCAUGAAAGUGGUGAACUAUAAAAACUGUUCAAUAAUAAUAAUAGUUCCAAAGAUAAUUUGAUUUGAUCUGAUAAUUUGUUCAAUAUAGCGUGAUAGUAUCUCACUUUAUUUUAUUUUCUUGUUUUAUCACUUAGAGACACAGAUUCUUUGAUUUGGGGUAAAAAAAAAAAUAAGAUUGUUGAUUUGAUUAAAUUUUAUGUGUUUAUUAAUUAUGCAAGAUAAAAAAUCUUCAUUUGUUGAGAUUUUACGUACUGGUAAAGCCCCAUGACAUUGUUGAGAUGUAAACUCUCGAUAUUUCAAAGUCAAAAACAAAACUAAAAGUUUGAACACUAAUGGGAAUAACACAUCUUGCCUCUUAUCCUGGAAAAAUAUAUUAAAGGGGUAUUAUUAAAGAUUUAGAUAAAGAGCUGACAGUUCUCGCUAUAACAGUUAAAAACUAGAUAAUGAAAAGGGAAUAUGUUGAAAAUUUCAGUCAAUUUACUACACUCUGAGUCGAGUUAUCGCUGUUACAAAAACAGUGUAGCCUCGAUUGUCAUUGCUACUGUUGUUACGUUAAUAAACAAAGUCUUGAUUAUCCAUUUUUACGUUAAAUCAAUGACUGUGAAUUGUAUUUAAAUGAUUCUUUAUUUGGAUCUAAAUCUAGGAUGUUUAGCUUCUUUUUAAAUUUAUGUGAUUUUAUCUAUUUGUUAUUUUACGACCAACAGUAUUAUUGUGUAAAAGAAAAUGGUGUAUAGUCUAAUAAUAUUGUUUUUAAAAAAUGUAUCGAAA